GAGGGUAUAUCUCUGGUAGAGCACGUGCUUUGCAUGCAUAAGGUCCUGGGUUCAAUCCCCAGUACCGCCA
rnacentral:tRNA from 1 species